CAGCCGCCACGGGAAUACGAAGGGGGCUAGCGUUGCUCGGAAUCACUGGGCGUAAAGGGUGCGUAGGCGGGUCUUUAAGUCAGGGGUGAAAUCCUGGAGCUCAACUCCAGAACUGCCUUUGAUACUGAAGAUCUUGAGUUCGGGAGAGGUGAGUGGAACUGCGAGUGUAGAGGUGAAAUUCGUAGAUAUUCGCAAGAACACCAACGGCGAAAGCACUCUGCUGGGCCGACACUGACACUGAGAGACGAAAGCUAGGGGAGCAAAUGGGAUUAGAUACCCCAGUAGUCCCUGUCUCUUAUAC
rnacentral:rRNA from 1 species